rnacentral:rRNA from 1 species
AUUGAACGCUGGCGGCAGGCUUUACACAUGCAAGUCGAGCGGAAGCACGGGGGCAACCCCGGUAGCGAGCGGCGGACGGGUGAGUAAUACAUCGGAACAUGCCCAGUCGUGGGGGAUAACACUUGGAAAGAGGUGCUAAUACCGCAUACGUCCUGAGGGGGAAAGCGGGGGAUCGCAAGACCUCGCGCUAUCGGAGUAGCCUAUGUCAGAUUAGCUAGUUGGUGGGGUAAAGGCCUACCAAGGCAACGAUCUGUAGCUGGUCUGAGAGGAUGAUCAGCCACACUGGGACUGAGACACGGCCCAGACUCCUACGGGAGGCAGCAGUGGGGAAUUUUGGACAAUGGGGGCAAGCCUGAUCCAGCCAUGCCGCGUGAGUGAAGAAGGCCUUCGGAUUGUAAAGCUCUUUCGGCAGGAACGAAACGGUGAGCGCUAAUAUAGCGCGGUAAUGACGGUACCUGAAGAAGAAGCACCGGCUAACUACGUG